GAAAGAGGCCCAACAAGUUGAUUGAUUUUUAUUUCUUUACGUUUUAUCUAGUUGAUACAGCGGGCUAGGGUUGACACUAGACAUACAUAAUAUAUCACAAUAUGCAGUAAUAAUAAUAAUUAUAUUAUAUCUCUGUAGUUACACACACGUAUAUAGACAUUAGAUGCUCUCACGAGGUUGAACUAAAGGUACCCACGACCUGUCUGUGCACCAUCGGCCGAUAGCUCACUCUUCUCGGAACACAUCAGCACGCGAAUCGCGAAGCCAGUCAAGUUCAAGCUCUCAGAACUGUCAGAGCCCGUGCGAACACUA